UACAGAGGCCUCAAGCGUUGUUCGGAAUCACUGGGCGUAAGGCGUGCGCAGGCGGUUAUAUAAGACAGUUGUGAAAUCCCCGGGCUCAACCUGGGAACUGCAUCUGUGACUGUAUAGCUAGAGUACGGUAGAGGGGGAUGGAAUUCCGCGUGUAGCAGUGAAAUGCGUAGAUAUGCGGAGGAACACCGAUGGCGAAGGCAAUCCCCUGGACCUGUACUGACGCUCAUGCACGAAAGCGUGGGGAGCAAACAGG
rnacentral:rRNA from 1 species